AUGAGCCCUGCACCUUCCAACCCAGCUCUCUUGGAGGGACCCUUGCUUCUAGCACUGUCUCCUGCAUGGAUUUUGGCCUCAUAUUGCAGGUCCUAUCUCCAGCUCCGUUUUCUGGAUGGACUUUGGACGACUGCUGCAGGUAGCUUGUCUUUGGUUUUCCCAGCUGAGAAGCAGCUCGGUGCAGCAUCCAUCCUCCUCUCCCUUUGCGCAGUGCCAGGGCUGACGGUGUAGAGCAAUCCUGCAAAUACACUGGUGAUCCCAAGUCUGAGGAUGCAGCUAAACCCCAUCAGAAGGCAUUUCUGCAGGAGUCAGAGGAUGUGUGUAACCUGCCUGUUUUUGCCUUAGUGGCAGCAUCGAUGACAUGCGGGAGCUGGUCAGAGGAGCGUCACUGCGCUGCCCUUAAUUCUCCUUGCGCAACUGAUGGUGAUCUAAUGAAUGAGACACAGCCAAACCCUUUUGCCUCUCUUAUGCUCAUCAAGCAAUCAUCUCCCCCGUCACGCUUUGCCUCCAAACACCUCAUUUGCAGCUGGCUGACCUUGGCUCUCCUCCGUGUAAUGGGAAGAUGAAGAGGUGGGAGCGUUGAGGGCUGGCUUUUAUGGGUGAAUCAUGGAAGAGCGAGCGGCUGGUGCGGGCUCGGGCAUGGGAGGUGCUGUGGAAACAUGAUGUGCUGUGCCAUGAAGGAUGGUAGCAAAUAGAUUGAGCAGGGGAUGAAAAGGGAGAGGGCGCUUGGUUAGAUAUCGCUGAUGGAAACAUGGGGGAAAUAAAGACAUAGAAACAUGUCAGAGACUGAACCACGCUACAGGUCUGUGGCUCUUAAUAACUGUGUAGUGAAUGCUAUAAAUGACUUGAAAAGCUCUUCAGUGACCAAGGGGUUCUAGGGAAUGGUUGAGUGAAACAGAGGAAUACUGAUUUGGGCAGAACUUUUACCCUAAUUUAAGCAAGAUCCUGUUGUUGAGAUAAAAGCUGCUUUGAAUCAACUGGAAUUAUCUUCUCCAAAGAAGAAGAAAGAUAAAGCUCUUGUGCAGGUGAACUUUAAUCCAACGUGUAUCAUCUGCAUGGAAGCCUUCAAACAGUUGUAGGAAUAAGGGUGGUGCUUAGGGUUAAGAGAACUACAUCUCAUAUGAGGAAAUUAGGAGUGGAUGUGCCAUGAGUUUUAGCAGGGCAAUUACAAUUUAUGGCUGCUCAGGGGGAGCCUUUAACCACAUUAAGCUAAGGGUCUGUCUGCAUUGCAAGCUGAGCUUUAAAACUAAAGAGGAUUUAGUAGUCCUGAGCUCCAAAGAGACCCUUAAUCCAAGUUCUCCUGUGGUUAUGGCCUUGGUCUUGGCUCUUGGGCUGUAGAUUGUUCCUGUAAAACAAACACCAAAGUUAUAACUUCCACAGGUUUCAAAGAGCUCCUAUGGGAAAAGGUCUGCCUGGAUUGUGGGGCAAGUUCUCACACUUCCAGGUGCUAUUAAACUGCAUGAAACCUCCUUUUUUUUAUAGGGGAGUCGAUGUCAAACCCUGCUCUAUCAGCUUGCCAUGCUCUUUGGGAAGGAGGAAACUUCACAAGGCACGUUUAACCUGAUUUCACUGACAGGUUUACAGCUGGGAGAGCAUUAAUAAACCACAAUUGCUAUUCAGUGGGCAAUAGCCACUGAGCAGUUAUGUUUUGUCUGUAGGCAGCCUAAUGAAACCAGCAGUUAAGGACCUAAUGAGAAUUGAAACCAUUGCUCCAUGGAGACAUCCCUUUUCCUGUGCUCCCAGAGGAGUUCAAUGAUCCUUGAUGUUCAGGUGAAAACCACCUUGUUCUGUACAAGUGGUGAUGCACCUUUCCAUUGUGGUGUUUCACACGUGUGUGUCUGGAUGCUGCUGCACUGGGGAUGCAAUCUCUCCUGGCUU